rnacentral:piRNA from 1 species
GGAGGCAUUAGGUGAGUCUGUCUGUC